rnacentral:rRNA from 1 species
GAUGAACGCUGGCGGCGUGCCUAAUACAUGCAAGUCGAGCGAACAGACGAGGAGCUUGCUCCUCUGACGUUAGCGGCGGACGGGUGAGUAACACGUGGAUAACCUACCUAUAAGACUGGGAUAACUUCGGGAAACCGGAGCUAAUACCGGAUAAUAUAUUGAACCGCAUGGUUCAAUAGUGAAAGACGGUUUUGCUGUCACUUAUAGAUGGAUCCGCGCCGCAUUAGCUAGUUGGUAAGGUAACGGCUUACCAAGGCGACGAUGCGUAGCCGACCUGAGAGGGUGAUCGGCCAAACUGGAACUGAGACACGGUCCAGACUCCUAAGGGAGGCAGCAGUAGGGAAUCUUCCGCAAUGGGCGAAAGCCUGACGGAGCAACGCCGCGUGAGUGAUGAAGGUCUUCGGAUCGUAAAACUCUGUUAUUAGGGAAGAACAAAUGUGUAAGUAACUAUGCACGUCUUGACGGUACCUAAUCAGAAAGCCACGGCUAACUACGUG